rnacentral:rRNA from 1 species
GACGUAGGGCGCGAGCGUUGUCCGGAUUUAUUGGGCGUAAAGAGCUCGUAGGCGGUCUGUCGCGUCGGCUGUGAAAUCCCGAGGCUCAACCUCGGGUCUGCAGUCGAUACGGGCAAACUAGAGUAUUGCAGGGGAGACUGGAAUUCCUGGUGUAGCGGUGAAAUGCGCAGAUAUCAGGAGGAACACCGGUGGCGAAGGCGGGUCUCUGGGCAAUAACUGACGCUGAGGAGCGAAAGCGUGGGGGAGCGAACAGG